rnacentral:lncRNA from 1 species
AUGCACUAACUCCCUUGAACCUCUUUUUCUUUCUUCUCUCUUGAAUGAUCUUGUGUUGGGUUGGUGAGAAGUUGUUGGAAAGCACUUAAGAGCUCCCUUUUAUAGCCCAAAAAACAAAUAUAGCCGUUAGAGAUAAAGUUAAGGGAGUUUGAAAUUCAAACCAAACCUGAAAAAGUUGUCAGUCGCGUCCCAGGCGCUUCGGAGACGUCU